rnacentral:sRNA from 1 species
GAUGGCGCAGGAGGUAGACACCGCACAGGGCGCCGAGAUGCGGCGGGGCGCGGGCGCGGCUCGGGGACGCGCUUCCUGGUGCUGGGCCCUGGCGCUGCUUUGGCUCGCGGCGGUUCAGGGCUGGUCCCGGGCCUCGGGCAUCCCCUCCCGGCGCCACUGGCCGGUGCCCUACAAGCGCUUUGACUUCCGUCCAAAACCUGAUCCUUAUUGUCAAGCUAAGUAUACUUUCUGUCCAACUGGCUCACCUAUCCCAGUUAUGGAGGGUGAUGAUGACAUUGAAGUUUUUCGAUUACAAGCCCCAGUAUGGGAAUUUAAAUAUGGAGACCUCCUGGAACACUUGAAAAUUAUGCAUGAUGCCAUUGGAUUCAGAAGUACAUUAACUGGCAAGAACUACACAAUGGAAUGGUAUGAACUUUUCCAACUUGGCAACUGUACAUUUCCCCAUCUCCGACCUGAAAUGGAUGCCCCUUUCUGGUGUAAUCAAGGCGCUGCCUGCUUUUUUGAGGGAAUCGAUGAUGUUCACUGGAAGGAAAAUGGGACAUUAGUUCAAGUAGCAACUAUAUCAGGGUUUCACCAUGUUGGCCAGGAUAGUAUCGAACUCCUGACCUCAAGUGAUCCACCCAUCUUGGCCUCCCAAAGUGCUGGGAUUACAGAUGUGAGCCACUGCACCCGGCCUACUAUAAGAAUUCUACCCCAAAGAGGCACCUUAUAUUACCUGGUAAGUUACCCAUUCAAUCCAUUUCUUCUUUAUGUUUAGAAACAGGGAUAGGAACAAGAAAACAUACACCGUAUUUUCAUCUAUUUAUUGUUACAAGUAUGAUGUGCCAGGUACUAGAUGUUAUCCCACAAAUAAUUUUAAAAAUCUGGAAAAGUAUUAUUUCUACUUUGAAGUGGAGACAGCUAGCUAAAAAUAGCAAAGCUGCAAUACAAACACAGGCUAAGUGACUCUUAUGUCCAUGCACUUAACUACUGCUUCAGAAAUGACAAGACAGAGGCCACCAAUAAGCCAUAGCUUUAUAACAGUGGGAAAAGAUAGGCAUUAGAAUUAUCCGAAGAGAUAAACUGAAUUACCAGAAUGAGUCACCAGAAAAGAGAGUAAUGUCUCAGUAUUCAGCAACCACAAAGUUUCUGUUUUCCACAAAGUAGGUAUAUACUUUAUUUUUGUUUUGAGAUGGAGUCUCGCUCUGCCACCCAGGAUGGAGUACAGGGGUGCGAUCUUGGCUCACUGCAACCUCCGCCUCCCUGGUUUAAGCAAUUCUCCUGCCUCGGCCUUCCAAGUAGCUGGGGUUACAGGCACACGCCACCACGCUCGGCUAUUUUAUAUACUUUGAAAUAUACUCUAAUUACUCAAGGUAACCUAAGCACAUCUCCGUUCCGAUACCAUCUCACGCCAGUUAGAAUGGCAAUCAUUAAAAAGUCAGCAAACAACAGAUGCUGGAGAGGAUAUGGAGAAAUAGGAACGUUCCUGUUAGUGGUAGUGUAAAUUAGUUCAACCAUUGUGGAAGACAGUGUGGCAAUUCCUUAAGGAUCUAGAACUAGAAAUACCAUUUGACCCAGCAAUACCAUUACUGGGUAUAUACCCAAAGGAUUAUAAAUCAUUCUACUAUAAAGACACAUGCCCAUGUAUGUUUACUGUGGCACUGUUCACAAUAGCAAAGACUUGGAACCAACCCAAAUGCCCAUCAAUGAUAGACUAAAUAAAGAAAACAUGGCACAUAUGCACCAUGGAAUACUAUGGAGCCAUAAAAAGGGAUGAGUUCAUGUCCUUUGCAGGGACAUGGAUGAAGCUGGAAACCAUCAUUCUCAGCAAACUAACACAAGAACAGAAAACCAAACACCACAUGUUCUCACUCAUAAGCGAGAGUUGAACAAUGAGAACACAUGGUCACCGGGAGGGGAACCUCACACACUGGUGCCUGUCGGGAGUUGGGGGGCUAGGGGAGGAAUAGCAUUAGGAGAAAUACCUAAGGUAGAUGACAGGCUGAUGGGUGCAGCAAACCACCGUGGCACAUGUAUAUCUAUGUAACAAACCUGCAUGUUCUGCAAAUGUACUCCAGAACUUAAAGUAUAAUAAUAAUUAAAAAAAAAAAACACACAGACAUGGGAAAUGGUAACCAACAAUUCAAAUGAAAGAAACUUUGCAGUAUCAUUUAAUAACUACAAAAGCAGUUGUGGCAGGCGUAAUUCUCAAAAUGGCCUCCAAGAUCCCACACCCUAAUGCCUAGCAUCUGUGAAUUCCAUAAGAUAUCAUGCCCAUGAUUAUGAUAUAUCGUACAGCUGAGCAUAUAAAAGAGAUUAUCUGGAUGGUCCUAGUCUAAUCAUAUGAGCCCCUUUUAAAGCAGUUUCCUCUGGCUGAUUGCAGAAGAGGAAGUCAGAGAGAUUCAAAAUGCAAAGGGGACUCAAUGUGUUAUUGCUGGCUCUAAGCUAGAGGGGGCCAAAAAAGAAAAAUCACAACCAGCCUCUAAGAGCAGAAAGACCCCCUAACAGCCUCCUGCUGACAGCCAAUAAGGAAACUGGAUGUCAGUCCAACAAUCACAAGGAACUAAAUUCAGCCAAUAACUUGAAUGAGCGUGGAAGUGGAUUCUUCUGCAGAGCCUCCAGGUAAGAGCCCAGCCUUCCUGACAUUUUCCUCUCAGCCUUUUAAGAUUUUAAGCAGAGAAGCCACUUGAGCCCUAACUACAGCUCUAAUGUACGGAACAGUGGAGCAAAUAAAUGGGUGUUGGUUUAAGCUGCUUUGUGUAUAGCUGUCAGUUAUGUACCAGUAAGAACAUAGUUCCAAGUAUUUAAAAACAU